UACGUAGGGUGCAAGCGUUGUCCGGAAUUAUUGGGCGUAAAGAGCUCGUAGGCGGUCUGUCGCGUCGAUCGUGAAAACUUGGGGCUUAACCCUGAGCUUGCGGUCGAUACGGGCAUGACUGGAGUUCGGCAGGGGAGACUGGAAUUCCUGGUGUAGCGGUGAAAUGCGCAGAUAUCAGGAGGGACACCGGUGGCGAAGGCGGGUCUCUGGGCCGAUACUGACGCUGAGGAGCGAAAGCGUGGGGAGCGAACAGG
rnacentral:rRNA from 1 species